UGCAUGUACCAUAAACUUAAUCAUGUAUCUUUCUCAGCAAAAGGCCACCGGAGUUUUCAAGAUGAUUGAGAUGCGCAAACUAGCAGACACCUGAGGAAGUGGACAUUCUUGUAGUCCCUGAUUAUGUUAUCCGAAGACUCUUAAGCCAGAUGGGUGGUACUGAAGUAUGUCAUUGUCUCCAGACGCAGUUAUUCUUUGUGCAGAUGGGUAGUUGCACACAUCAUUGAAUAAAAACACCAUGCCAUCAGACACUGAUGAAGAUGAUAGUGACACAGAAUGGCAGCCACCAAAAAAGCAACUAUUUGCUGCUAUUGGAAGUGAUAGUGAGGAAUCUGAUAGUGAUGAUACCCAUUAAAGAAGAAAGUGAAAUUUGGGAAAGAGAACACCAUGGGGUGCGGAUGAAAAAGCUGCAGUGAAUCAAGCUUUGAGUAAAUGCUUCAAACUUCAAAUAUUACC